rnacentral:rRNA from 1 species
GGAAUUUUGGGCAAUGGGCGAAAGCCUGACCCAGCAACGCCGCGUGGAGGAUGAAGGCCUUCGGGUUGUAAACUCCUGUCAGGUGGGACGAAAGAACGUCGGCCAAUACCCGAUGCUUCUUGACGGUACCACCGGAGGAAGCCCCGGCUAACUCCGUUCCAGCAGCCGCGGUAAUCAGGAGGGGGCGAGCGUUAUUCGGAAUUAUUGGGCGUAAAGGGCGCGUAGGCGGCUUGGCAAGUCAGGGGUGAAAUCCCUCGGCUCAACCGAGGAACUGCCUCUGAAACUGUCUGGCUUGAGGCCGGGAGAGGGUAGUGGAAUUCCCAGUGUAGCGGUGAAAUGCGUAGAUAUUGGGAAGAACACCGGUGGCGAAGGCGGCUACCUGGACCGGUUCUGACGCUGAGGCGCGAAAGUGUGGGGAGCA